ensembl:lncRNA
GUGCUAUAGUCCUGGUUUCUUUAGCAGUCAUGGCUGAUCUUCGAAGACUGGGUAAAAACAGUUCUUACUAUCAUUGUUCAUAAUACUAGCAAAUGAUCCAAUAUUAGAAAUAGAUAUAAUCUUAUUAAUGGAAAUGAUAACAAAGUAGAUUCGCCAGAUUUACAAUACAUACCUUAAUCCCUAGUCCUUUUCAUCUGAUUUACAGUUGAAAUCCCCCAUAUGUGAAUAUGAAUUGGGAGUCCUUUGAAAGCCAUCUUGCUUUUUAAUUUGAUCCCCAGAAAUUGUCCCAGUCCUUCAAACACAGUAACUGCUUAGGAAUUUUAAAAUUUCACAUUUGUCAAAAUUCUGCAAUGAGCUGAUGUAUUACUUAUUACAUUUCUCAGAUGAGGAAACUGAGGUUCAGAAGAUUGAUCAUCAUCACACAGCCGAAGAGUGACCCUUUGGGAGAAGAGGCUUCAUCUCUUACAGUUUUUUGGAAAAGAACACCUAUUGUGAAAUCGUCAUGGAGAAAACAUUAAGUGAAACAGAUUUACCAAUUAAUCCAAAUCAGGAAUAUGCUAACAAGGCUGAAAACUUUCUGGAAUACAUGUGUCGUCUGUGCAUUGACUCAGAGCCCAGUGUUGCCCGAAACACUGCUAUCAUCUGCACCAUUGGCCCAGCUUCUCAAUCUGUAGAUACAUUAAAAAAGAUGAUUAGCGCUGGAAUGAAUGUGGCUCGUAUAAACACCUGCCAUGGAAAUCAAGAGGAACACGCCAUGAUGAUCAAAAAUGUACGAACGGCUACAGACAGUUUUCUUUCUGAUCCCAUGUUCUAUCGGCCUAUUGCUAUAGCAUUGGACAUAAAAGGACCAUCCGUCCGGACUGGACUCAUCAAGGGCAGUGAAUCAGCUGAAGUAGAGCUAAAGAAGGGCAAUUCUAUCAAAGUCACUUUGGAUGAUACAUAUAAGGAAAACUGCGAUGAGAAUAUUCUGUGGGUAGACAACAAAAGAGUUUUCACCGACAUAAAGAUUGAUGGCAAGAUCUAUGUGGACAAUGGGCUCAUUUGUCUGGUUGUGAGGGAGAAAGGUAAUGGUUUCCUUUUGACUGAGGUGACAAGUGGUGGAAUGCUAGGCAGCAAGAAAUGCUUGAACUUUCCUGGGUUGAAAAUGGACUUUGCUCUUACAACUAAGGAUAAAGAAGAUUUAAAGUUUGGAUUAGAGCAAAAGGUAGAUAUGGUGUUUGCAUCUUUCAUCCAAAAGGCAGGGGAUGUCCAAGAAGUCAGAAAGAUACUUGGGAAAGAAGGAGAAAGCGUGUUGGUCAUCAGCAAGAUUGAGAACCAUGAAGGAGUUAAAAAUUUUGAUGAGAUCCUGAAAGUCAGUGAUGGCAUUAUGAUUGCUCGGGGGGACCUAGGUAUUGAGAUCCCUCCACAAAAAGUCUUCCUUGCUCAGAAGAUGAUGAUUGGAAGGUGUAAUCUAGCUGGGAAACCUGUUAUCUGUGCCACCCAGAUGCUACAGAGCAUGAUUAAGAAGCCACGUCCCACUCGAGCAGAAAGCAGUGAUAUAGCCAAUGCUGUCCUAGAUGGAGUAGAUUGUGUCAUGUUGUCAGGGGAGACCGCCAAAGGGGACUACCCAGUAGAAUGUGUAAAGGUCCAACACAGGAUUGCCCGAGAGGCAGAGGCUGCCACCUUUCACUUGCAGUUAUUUAAUGAACUUGUCAACCUGGUACCCCACAAUAAGGAUUUUACUGAAAUUACUGCUGUGGGUGCUGUAAAAGCAUCCUUCAACUAUGCCAGUGAGGCCAUCAUCGUUCUCACUGACACUGGAAAAUCAGCUUAUUUGAUAGCCAGGUAUCAUCCCCGGGUCCCUAUCCUUGCUGUUAUUCGGGAUGCCCAAGUUGCACGGCAGGUGUUGAAACAAAAUGGACUGAAGAUGUCGAAAUAAGGAUUAACUAUG